GCGCGAGUCACUCAGUCUUGACUAGGCUCGAGAGGCGCAAUGAAAGUGAAGCUUGUCAAGUUACGAUCCCCGUGCCGGUCAUGCCUUUCGGUGUGACGGCGGGGCGCAGUAACGGCCCGCCAAUUUCGCCUAUUGACGAUCUGGCGGAGUUGUAGCGUACACGUUGGUACCCGAAAGAUGGUGAACUAUGCUUGGGCAAGACGAAGCCAGAGGAAACUCUGGUGGAGGUCUGUAGCGAUUCUGACGUGCAAAUCGAUCGUCAGACCUGAGUAUAG
rnacentral:rRNA from 1 species